UACGUAGGGGGCUAGCGUUGUCCGGAAUCAUUGGGCGUAAAGAGCGUGUAGGCGGUCCGGUAAGUCCGCUGUGAAAGUCGGGGGCUCAACCCUCGAAUGCCGGUGAAUACUGUCGGGCUAGAGUGCGGAAGAGGCGAGUGGAAUUCCUGGUGUAGCGGUGAAAUGCGCAGAUAUCAGGAGGAACACCUAUUGCGAAGGCAGCUCGCUGGGACGUAACUGACGCUGAGACGCGAAAGCGUGGGGAGCAAACAGG
rnacentral:rRNA from 1 species